GGGGAGGCAGCAGUAGGGAAUUUUGGACAAUGGGCGCAAGUCUGAUCCAGCCAUGCCGCGUGCAGGAUGAAGGCCUUCGGGUUGUAGACUGCUUUUGUACGGAACGAAAAGACUCUGGUUAAUACCUGGGGUCCAUGACGGUACCGUAAGAAUAAGCACCGGCUAACUACGUGCCAGCAGCCGCGGUAAUACGUAGGGUGCAAGCGUUAAUCGGAAUUACUGGGCGUAAAGCGUGCGCAGGCGGUUAUGUAAGACAGAUGUGAAAUCCCCGGGCUCAACCUGGGAACUGCAUUUGUGACUGCAUAGCUAGAGUACGGCAGAGGGGGAUGGAAUUCCGCGUGUAGCAGUGAAAUGCGUAGAUAUGCGGAGGAACACCGACGGCGAAGGCAAUCCCCUGGGCCUGUACUGACGCUCAUGCACGAAAGCGUGGGGAGCAAACAGGAUUAGAUACCCCAGUAG
rnacentral:rRNA from 1 species